AUGACCUCAAAUCAGAUGAGACUACCCGCUGAACUUAAGCAUAUCAAUAAGCGGAGGAAAAGAAACUAACAAGGAUUCCCUCAGUAACGGCGAGUGAAGAGGGAAGAGCUCAGUUUUGAAAUCUGGCAGUCAUUCACUGUCCGAGUUGUAAAUUGAAGAGAGUGUCAUCCACACUGGACCAUGUCUAAAUUGUAAUGAUCCACAGUCCUUUGAUGGAGUAUCGGAGAGGGUAAUAAUCCCGUCUUUAACGUGGACUCCCAGUGUUUAUGUGAUGCAUUCUCUCAGAGUCGAGUAGUUUGGGAAUGCUGCUCUAAUGGGAGGUAAACUCCUUCUAAAGCUAAAUAUUGGCGAGAGACCGAUAGCGAACAAGUACCGUGAGGGAAAGAUGAAAAGAACUCUGAAAAGAGAGUCAAACAGAACGUGAAAUUGCUGAAAGGGAAGCGUUUGGAGUCAGAUGCGUCUUCAUGGAAUAACGACUCAGUUAGCAGAGACUGAGGUCAGUGACUUGAAGAUGGGCCAGCACUCACGUAGACCAUUGAAAAAGGGGUCAUUGGAAUGUAGCUCAAUUUAUUGAGUGAUUAUAGCCUUGAUUCAUAUACAAUGUGUGUUAUGUGAGAUUGACAGCACGACUUCAGUGCUGCUGACUGCAUA
rnacentral:rRNA from 1 species